GCUUUGUUUACCCAAGCAAGCCUGGGCAAUGGCGGGCGCCCCUCCCCCAGCCUUGCUGCGGCCUUGCAGUUUGAUCUCAGACUGCUGUGCUAGCAAUCAGCGAGACUCCGUGGGCGUAGGACCCUCCUAGCCAGGUGCAAGAUAUAAUCUCGCGGUGCGCCGUUUUUUAAGCCGGUCCGAAAGCGCAAUAUUCGGGUGGGAGAGACCCGAUUUUCCAGUGAGAUGAACCCAGUACCUCAGAUGGAAAUGCAGAAAUCACCCGUCUUCUGCGUCGCUCACGCUGGGAGCUGUAGACCGGAGCUGUUGCUAUUCGGCCAUCUUGGCUCCUCUCCUGCACUGCAAGAAUGGACUAAUACGCUAUGUGAAGACAAAGGGGAUGUCUGCAAGCCAGGACGAGUGCGUCUACCAGAAACUGAGUUCUGCUGGACUUUGAUCUAGGACAUCCAGCCUCCAGAAUGGAAUGUGCCAUAUGUGGAGACCUGCAUGGAAAGGAACUGAGGAUGCUCUCUCACUAAAAGCUAGAAGGAACUGAGGCCCUCAGUCAACAGUCUACAAGACACUGAAUCUUGCCAGCAGCCAAGCAGUGAGCUUGAAAGCAGAUCUAUCAUCAGCUGAACCUUCAGAUGAGACCGCAGCCUAAGCAGAUACCUUGGUUGCAGCCAUGUGAGACAACCUGAAACAGAGGGCACAGCUAAGCCUCAGCCAGGUUCAUGACCCUCUGAGGAAACUGUGAGAAAGCAAAUGUCAUUUUAAGCUAUUUAAUUUUGGAGGUAGUUUAUUACACAACAAUAAAUAACUAUUAUAAUUAUCUUGAGGAUUUAUUUCCUGGGGAGAAUACAUGGAAUUGCAUAUAUAGGUCCUCAUAUGCAGAAUACUGGUACCCUAGAGAUGUUCACCCCAGAGAUGUUUUAGGAACCUGUGAAUAUGUUACAUUAAAUGGCAAAGUUUUCCUGGAUGGUUUAAGUUUAAGAUGGAAAAGUUUUACUGGAUUAUCCAGUGGGUCCAAUCUAGUAACAUGAGUCCUUAAAAAUGGAGAAUAUUUUUUGGCCAUGAUCAGAGAGACAUGUGAUGAUGGAAAAAGUGUCAGAGAUGCAAUGUGAGGGGACUAAAACUGCUGUUGCUGACUUUAAAGAUGGAGAGAGGGGAACCCGAGUCAAGGAAUGCAAAUGGCCUCUGGAAGCUGGAAAAAGCAAGAAAUGGAUUCUCCUUUAGAGCCUGUGGAAUAAAAUGCAGUCAUGCUGACACCUUGAUUUUACCUCAGUGAGACCAAUACUGGAGUAUGACCUUCGGAGCUGAAUAAAAUUAUACGUACACAUCUUAAUUUCUUGGGAUUUGAUUACUUCUUCUGCUUUGAAAUUAGACCAAGUUUAGCCUGCCUUUGCUAUUUUGGCGUAUCUCCAAUUCUUCAUGAUUUUCUCAUCGCAAAGGCCACAUAAGGACAGUGAGAAGGCAGCCACCUGCAAGCCAGGAAGAAAGGUCUCACCAGAUACCAACCCUGCCAGCAUGUUGAUCUUGGACUUCCAGCCUCCAAAACUGGCCUUCUGCUCACAUGGGCUUCCGUGCACCUGCUUCAGGAGACAGCAACACUUGCGCCCGCACCGCGGCAGGCUCCCAUCACCUGGUGGAUAUGCCGCGCCGAGUCUCAUCACACCUUAGUGAAGGAACACAUGGACCCAUAUGUUAGCGGAUGUAUUUACAUCGUUUUAUACAGAAAGGGGAAGAAAACUGCAUACCUCAGAAAGGGGUUGCUCCUCACUCUGAGUACUAGACUAAAGAUAAAAAGACUAGAUAAAAGUACUAGACUAAAGACAGAGCUGACCCAUGACAGGUGUAUAUCUAGAAGUGUAAUUGCUGGAUCAUAUGGUUACUAUAUGUUUAACAUUUUGGGGAACUGCCAAACUAUUUUCCAAAGUGGCACAAAGGAGAAUAUAGGAAAAAAUGUAGUUGAAAGGUAAAUUGAUUUUAUUAAUGUUGAAUUUGGAGUGUUUACAAGACAUAAAGAAGGGUAUUUUCAGAAGAUUGAUAGCUAUAUGGGUCUUAUGCUUAGGGGAAUAGUAUGAGUUUGAGAAACAGGUCUUGGCAUCGUCAACAUGUACAAUUAAAGAUGUGAGAAACCAACAGCUCACCCAAAGAAAGUAGACAUUACCACAAGGAAGACUUACAUAUCUAAGGUCAAUUCAGAUAGCAUGCAUACACUGUGUGAUGGAGGGCAGGAAAGGUGGAGAUUAAUUAGGACUUGGCAGGCAAUUGAUCAGAAUUUUUUUUCCCAUAGCAAGAAGAUUUGCUUCGUGGGAGGAUUUCACUGGGCAGAGCUGGACAUACAGAGAGCAGAGAAGGACAUUCCCACAUAGAAUCUUAAAUCUUGAAUGCUAGGGAAGAGCCUACUAAGCGGAAAAGUGUGGGAAAGGCUUCCAAACAUGGGAAAUGGCAUAUAUAAAGGCAUAGUUGUUCAAAAUGUCUUCAUUUGAACUUCAGGAUAAUUAAACAAUUAGCAUCCAUUUGUUUGUCAGUCUGUGCCAGCAUUUUAUUAGGUGCUGCACACAAAUUAUCUCAUUUAAACCUUACAACAAUCUUCAUUCUAGAGAUGAGGAAACAGACACAAAGAUGUUAUAUUAACUAGCUAUCAAAGAUGACAUAGCUGGAAAAUGGUAAAGUCUUGGUAAAACCCAGGGAGUUUGAGACUAGAGCCUGCACCUGACAUGUGAAGCAACUCAUCGAAAUAAUUUUAAGUAUUAAAGACCAUUAGUCAGCACCAGUGGUGUGCUCCUGGUAGCUGAUAAGGCGCUCCCAAUCUUGGUACCACUUGAUGAUCUAGUGGCUUACUUGAUAUGUUUUUCAUUGUUCUUUUUCUUUUCUUUUCUUUUCUUUUCUUAGAUGGAGUCUUGCUCUGUCACACAUGCUAGAGUCCAGUGGUAUGACCUCAGCUCACUGCAAUCUCUGCCUCCCGGGUUCAAAUGAUUCUUCUGCCUUGACCUCCCUGGCAGCUGGGACUACAGGCCUGCACCACCACGCCUGGCAAAUUUUUUAAUUUUUUUUAGUAGAGAUGGGGUUUCACCAUGUUGGCCAGGCUAGUCUCGAACUCCUGACCUCAAAUGAUCUGCCCGCUUUGGCCUUCCAAAGUUCUGGGAUUAUAGGAGUGAGCCACCAUGCCCAGCCUGUUCUUAAGUCUCCUAGAACAGGGAUUCUGAAACACAAAACUCAUCUGGUGAGAAGAAUGAGAGCAAGAGAGGUUAAAUGGGUCGUUCAAGUUCAUAAAGUACUGACAGAAGAUGACCCUGAACUGUUCUCACUAUAUUAAAAGUCAGACAAGUAUUAUUAUUAUUAUUACUAAUAUAAGUAGCUCCAAUUUAUGUGAUUCUCAUGAUUUGGAGGACCUUACCUAUAUUAGCUUAUUUAAUCUACACAGCAAACCUAGAUGGUAAAUAUUUUCAUUGCCAUUUUACAGAGGAGGAACUGAGGUUCCUGAGGGUUAGGAAACUUGUAACAUGAACUCCAUACAGAUAUACAGAAUGAUAUAAACAAAUAAACAAAUACAUAAAUGUGGAAGAAGUAAAAGCUCUUCCUUGGAGUAAAAGGCCACCUAAUAAAUGAGGCAGGAAUGAUAAAAUUAGAGAAAUCAUUUGCAAACAUCACAGUAUUAAUUGCUUAAAGGAAGAAUUAUAAAUAGAUAAUAAAGCUAGUGGGUGAAACAUUAAUGGGACUAAGAUAUUUAUCUAGCCCCAAAAGUUUUGCUCCAUAAAAAUACUUACUUAGGCUGGGCAUGGUGGUGCACACCUGUAAUUCUAGCACUUUGGGAGGCCGAGGUGGAAGGAUUACUUGAGCUUAAGAGUUCAAUGGCAGCCUGGACAACAUAGUGAGACCGCAUCUCUAAAAAAAAAAUUAGCCAGGUGUGGUAGUGCGUGUAUGUAUUCUCAGCUACUCAGGAGGCUGAGGUAGAAGGGAUCGCUUGAGCCCCAAGUUGAGGCCACAGUGAGCUGAGAUUGCACCACUGCACUCCAGCCUGGGUUACAGAGAGUGAUCCUGUCUCAACAAUAAAAUAAAAUAAAAUGAAAAAAAUAUUUAUUACAAAUGAAAAAAAUGACAUGUUUACACUGGAGAGGCCUACAGGCAUCAUCUUAACCAAUGAUCAAAGUUAAUAUCUACACGAAUAGGACAAAUAAUAUCAUUUCCCUCCUGACCUCAUGCAUGUUUAAAACACAACAUAACUUCUUGGUUAUUUCUGUCAAGAGUGCAUAACCUGAAACUAAUCAUAAGAAACCACCAGAUGACCCCACGAUGAGAGGUAUACUAAAAAAUAACUAAGCUAUUAUUUUAUUUUAUUUAUUUUUUGAGACAGAGUCUUGCUCUGUUGCCCAGGCUGGAGUGCAGUGGCGCAAUCUCAGCUCACUGCAACCUCAGCCUCCUGGGUUCAAGAGAUUCUCCUGCCUCAGCCUCCCAAGUAGCUGGGAUUACAGGCUUCUUUUUGUAUUUUUAGUAGAGAGGGGGUUUCACCAUGUUGGCCAGGCUGGUCUCAAACUCCUGACCUCAGGUGGUCCACCCACCUCGGCCUCCCAGUUUUGGGAUUAUAUGCGUGAGCCACUGCACUCAGCCACCAGACUUUUUUUUUUUUCUUUUUACUUUUUUUGAGACAGCAUCUCCCUCUGUCGCCCAGGCUGGAGUGCAAUGGCACAAUCUUGGCUCACUGCGACCUCCGCCUCCCAGGUUCAAGUGAUUCUCCUGUCUCAGCCUCCUGAGUAGCUGGAACUACAGGCGCCCGCCACCACGCCCGGCCAGUUUUUGUGUUUUUAGUGGAUAUGGGGGUUUCACCAUGUCGGUCAGGCUGGUCUCGAACUCCUCACCUCAGGUGAUCUGCCCGACUCAGCCUCCCAAAGUGCUGGGAUUAUAGAUGUGAGCCAUCGUGCCUGGCCUAUUUUGAAAGCAACAUAUAAUCCAACUUUUUCUUUUGUUAUAAAGAGCAAUAUAGGAACAAGGAGUGAAACACCAAGGCAAUUUGACAGUUAAAUGGUAGAAGUAGAUCAGUGUUAAUUUCCUGAUUUUGUAAUUAUACUGUGGUUAUGUAACAGAAUGUUCUUGUUUUAGAAAGUACACAUUGAAUAAUCAAUGGUCAUCUUGUCUGUAACUUAAUUUCAAAUGUUUCAAUAAAAAUAUGUGUAUGUUUGUGAGUGAUAAAACAAAU
rnacentral:lncRNA from 10 species